GACGAACGCUGGCGGCGUGCCUAAUACAUGCAAGUAGAACGCUGAAGGAGGAGCUUGCUCUUCUGGAUGAGUUGCGAAUGGGUGAGUAACGCGUAGGUAACCUGCCUGGUAGCGGGGGUUAACUAUUGGAAACGAUAGCUAAUACCGCAUAACAGUAGAUGUUGCAUGACAUUUGCUUAAAAGGUGCAAUUGCACCACUACUAGAUGGACCUGCGUUGUAUUAGCUAGUUGGUGGGGUAACGGCUCACCAAGGCGACGAUACAUAGCCGACCUGAGAGGGUGAUCGGCCACACUGGGACUGAGACACGGCCCAGACUCCUACGGGAGGCAGCAGUAGGGAAUCUUCGGCAAUGGACGGAAGUCUGACCGAGCAACGCCGCGUGAGUGAAGAAGGUUUUCGGAUCGUAAAGCUCUGUUGUAAGAGAAGAACGAGUGUGAGAGUGGAAAGUUCACACUGUGACGGUAUCUUACCAGAAAGGGACGGCUAACUACGUG
rnacentral:rRNA from 1 species